rnacentral:rRNA from 1 species
CAAUAGCGUAUAUUAAAGUUGUUGCAGUUAAAAAGCUCGUAGUUGGAUUUCUGGUGGGAGCGAUCGGUCUGGCGCUUAGCGCGAGUACUUGCAUCGUCUCCGGCCAUCCUUGGGGAGAGUCUGUCUGGCAUUAGGUUGUCGGGCAGAGGAUCCACAUCGUUUACUGUGAAAAAAUUAGAGUGUUCAAAGCAGGCUUAUGCCGUUGAAUAUAUUAGCAUGGAAUAAUAAGAUAGGACUUUGGUACUAUUUUGUUGGUUUGCGCACCAAAGUAAUGAUUAAUAGGGACAGUUGGGGGUAUUCGUAUUCCGUUGUCAGAGGUGAAAUUCUUGGAUUUACGGAAGACGAACUACUGCGAAAGCAUUUACCAAGGAUGUUUUCAUUG